CUCUCAGCUGGCCUGGCCGGGCUUGGGGGCGGCGUGAAGAUUGGGACAGAGAUCCUCUGAGCAGGAAAGAAGGGGGAGGCCGGCCUGCCGCCACCCCGCAACAGGGACACAAGCGGGUACAGCUGGAGUGCUCCAGGCCCAGAAGGCGGGAGGGGGCAGGGAAUGCGUCAGCAGCCCGGACAGAGGCUCUGGGACCCGGGCCGGGUCGGUGGGAAGUAACUCGAGGGCCCAGGAGUGAAAUCAGAGCCAGGCCGGAGCCGACUCCGCAAGAAACGCUCCCUAACUCCUGGAGGCGGGGGAGGCCCCGCGCGCUCCACUUCCAAGGGCUUCGCCGGAGGCAGUUCUUCUUCCCACUGCUUAAGGGCUUGGCCUUUCUAAGGGCAAGACUGGCUCGGGAGCCUUCCAAGGGAUUUGAAAUCCUCCCGGGGCGGGGACAGGCCUAGGGCUCGGCACUGGGGUGUCCGAUUUUGAGACGCCAGGGAAGAAGCCUCAGACGUUAGAGGCCGCACACUCUCAGAGCGCGCUUGCGGGCGUCUGGGCGCGGAUGAGCGGCCUUCUCCAGUCGCGAGUGCACAAAAGGUAGCGCCGAGUCUCUUCUCAGGCGACCCGAGCUAAGAGGAGAGGAGAGCGGGGUUUUCUGACUUCCAACUCAAUAGGGACCAGAGAGAAAGACUAAUUGAUAAAACUUUUGACACUGGAAAACUUGGUUAGAUUAGUAACCAAAGAUGUCAUCAUCUUAGCUACAGAAAAUCUUGGAAAAGGUUUUCUUUCUUCAGGAUCAGACACAGAAACUGAUUGAAUGGCUCCACUGAUCAGGAUUUGAAAAACCAAAUCUCAGAACCUACCACUUGGUGUAUGUCUGCCUUGAGCAGUUUCUUCUUUAGCAACAGGACACUUGCAUAAUAUGGGAGCAUCAUUUCUUCUUCACUUCUCCCUGAUUUUGUAAAAUGUGAUCAAUUUUUUUUUCAUAAUUUUUAAAGUUAACUUCAUGGGAAAUCUCGUUGCAAACACAAUGUAAAAGCUAAAAUGCAUCCUUUGAAAGAUGCGUGUAGCCUCAGGUCUCAGACUAAUCCUGCCCUUUAUCAUCAGAGGUGAUGAGUGGCACUCCCGGAUCUCCUGUCUCCCUGGAGUUGUGUUUGGAAAGUACAGGCCCUGACUGUGACUAGCAGCCCUCCCAGACACCAUCUGCUGCCUGUCUGUCAUCAUCAACUGCAGCUCCGAGUGUAGUAGAAGUAAAUCAGAAAGAACUUUUUUCUCCUCUAUAUUGGCUUCAAGUUAAUAUGAUCCUAUGGUCUGAAAAGGAGUUUUUUGAUUAUCUGGGUAUGCAGUCAUCCUUACCACUGACUAAUAAGAGUUAUAUUCCUGUGCAUGAAUUACAUAAUCAUGAAUACACUGUGCUACGUGAACUACCACACAGGUCAUGAAGAGUUGGUUGAGAAAGAAGGGAACGUGGAAUAUCUGGUUUUAGAUCAUCCCAAACUUGUCUCAUCAAUAAAAUGUCAACUUCAGGUCUGCUUAUUUGUUGGACAGGAUAGAGGUGGAACUUUAAAAAGGCCUGGAGUGACCUGUGGAUUGAAGAGAAACCUCCCCAAACCAGAGAUGAGGACUUUUUCACCAGCAGUUUUCAAACACAGACUUGAAAAAUAAUAAAUUAACCUUUCAUUUCAACACCUUGAAACCUUAGAAAAUUGUGUGAUCACUGAUAAAUCAUUAAAAUCACUUUUUUCUUCUUUGAACAUAAUAAAGACCAUUUUUCUUAGACCUGUUAUAUACCUUCAAAUGGAGUAAAUACAAUGAAUAAACAAGUUACUUUAUAUUUUCAAUCUAGUUAUAGGGAAGGAAUGUUUUUGGAUCCUGGAUGUUAGCAGUUUCCUUUAAAAAAAAAAAAAAACCAGGAAACCCUUUAUAAAUGAAAGAAAUGUGUAUAGUAUGCAAAUUCAAAGUGUGCUGUCCUCAUUUACCCAGUGGAAUUCAAAAUAAGCCCCAACUUGUGAACAUAUUAAAACAGAUUGAAAUGGAUAUUAGUGGGAUUUGUACGGAGAAGCACUCCAGUCCAUCAAACACGCUAUGCACAAGAACUUUGAUAAUGUUGUUUUACUGAUAAUUACCUGCCGGCUGUCACCUCAAUGUGGGAUUUCAUGCAGGUUCCUGUAUUUAAACAUUACAUUCGGAGCCAAGCCUGCAAAGACACUUAUACCAAUCUGGCCAUGUCCAUUUUAUUUCACAAUUAUCUGUGAAUUUCUUCGUGAAAAGCAAUGCAUUUAGCUCCCUUUUAAUUGUGUUUGAUCUGUGUGGGCAAGAGACUCAUCAGUACCGUGUUCCCACUUCCCUGGCCAGAGCAGGUUCUGCCUUCUCUCCCUCCCAGGCACCAGCAGAUACCAGAAUUACUGGAAAGCAGCGCUUCCCGAGGACAAGCAUGAAUAUUCAUCUGACCUGAAGAAAUAGUCACUGGGGCAAAGCAAAUACCUUGUAUUAACUAAAGGUGUUUUAAACAGGAAGGACCAUCUUCUGCGGUCCUCCUGGGCGGCUAGUGCCUGCUGGCCCUCCAGCUCUGCGGAGAACUUCCUUUUCUCUCUACCCCACCCCCACUUUUUUUUUCCCCAUACUGAACUCCUAAUUAAAUUUAACAGUUUCAAGAGUUUAAACUGUAUACCUUUUUAAUUGUGUCCUACUUUGUAUUGGCUGAUGCACAAGUCUGAAAAUGGAUAUUACAGCUUUUUAUGAUAUAAUAUCACCCUAAUUGGUGCUUCAUAGGCCGUGGCUGAAUUCUUUUCAAUUAAGCGCUAACAUACAGUAACUGUUUCUCUCUGCAAAUGCUGGAAAGCCAUUCACAAGAGAGGACUGGUACUGCACAAUUCCAAAGUACCUUAAUGUGUCAAAAAUGUUUUGUGAAGAAAGCUACACUGUAAAUGCAAUCACCUACAUUGGUGUUCCCAUUGUUCACUGGGAGUGAAAGUAUUGCUAAUUGUCCUGCGUUUUAGCUGGGUUUUUAAAGCAUUAUGUAGUAAGU